rnacentral:tRNA from 1 species
ACUUUUAUAGGAUAGGAGUAAUCCGUUGGUCUUAGGAAUCAAAAACUUGGUGCAACUCCAAAUAAAAG